CUCAGAAACUACAAAGGAAUUGACGGGGCCCGCACAAGCGGAGGAGCAUGUGGUUUAAUUCGAUGAUACGCGAGGAACCUUACCUGGGCUCGAACGUAAGAUGACUGUAGGUGAAAGCUUACAUCUCUUCGGAGCAUUUUACGAGGUGCUGCAUGGUUGUCGUCAGCUCGUGCCGUGAGGUGUCGGGUUAAGUCCCAUAACGAGCGCAACCCUACCUUUAGUUGCCAUCAGGUAAUGCUGGGGACUCUAAAGGAACUGCCUACGCAAGUAGUGAGGAAGGCGGGGAUGACGUCAAAUCAGCACGGCCCUUACGUCCAGGGCUACACACGUGCUACAAUGGCCGAUACAGAGGGCAGCUACCUGGUGACAGGAUGCAAAUCUCCAAAGUCGGUCUCAGUUCGGAUCGGAGUCUGCAACCCGACUCCGUGAAGUUGGAUUCGCUAGUAAUCGCGCAUCAGCCAUGGCGCGGUGAAUACGUUCCCGGGCCUU
rnacentral:rRNA from 1 species